AGUGAACGCUGGCGGUAGGCCUAACACAUGCAAGUCGAACGGCAGCACAGUAAGAGCUUGCUCUUACGGGUGGCGAGUGGCGGACGGGUGAGGAAUACAUCGGAAUCUACUUUUUCGUGGGGGAUAACGUAGGGAAACUUACGCUAAUACCGCAUACGACCUACGGGUGAAAGCAGGGGAUCUUCGGACCUUGCGCGAUUGGAUGAGCCGAUGUCGGAUUAGCUAGUUGGCGGGGUAAAGGCCCACCAAGGCGACGAUCCGUAGCUGGUCUGAGAGGAUGAUCCGCCACCCUGGAACGGAGAAACGGGCCAGGCCCCUACGGGAGGCAGCAGUGGGGAAUUUGGGAAAAUGGGGGCAACCCUGACCCAGCCAUCCCGGGGGGGUGAAGAAGGCCUUGGGGUUGUAAAGCCCUUUUGUGGGGAAAAAAAAGCAGCAGGUUAAACCCCCGCUGUUCUGACGGUACCCAAAAAAUAAGCACCGGCUAACUUCGU
rnacentral:rRNA from 1 species